GAUGAACGCUGGCGGCGUGCCUAAUACAUGCAAGUCGAGCGAACGGACGAGAAGCUUGCUUCUCUGAUGUUAGCGGCGGACGGGUGAGUAACACGUGGAUAACCUACCUAUAAGACUGGGAUAACUUCGGGAAACCGGAGCUAAUACCGGAUAAUAUUUUGAACCGCAUGGUUCAAAAGUGAAAGACGGUCUUGCUGUCACUUAUAGAUGGAUCCGCGCUGCAUUAGCUAGUUGGUAAGGUAACGGCUUACCAAGGCAACGAUGCAUAGCCGACCUGAGAGGGUGAUCGGCCACACUGGAACUGAGGCACGGUCCAGACUCCUACGGGAGGCAGCAGUAGGGAAUCUUCCGCAAUGGGCGAAAGCCUGACGGAGCAACGCCGCGUGAGUGAUGAAGGUUUUCGGAUCGUAAAACUCUGUUAUUAGGGAAGAACAUAUGUGUAAGUAACUGUGCACAUCUUGACGGUACCUAAUCAGAAAGCCACGGCUAACUACGUG
rnacentral:rRNA from 1 species